rnacentral:rRNA from 1 species
UACGGAGGGUGCGAGCGUUGUCCGGAAUCAUUGGGCGUAAAGGGCGCGUAGGUGGCCCGGUCAGUUCGUGGUGAAAGCGCGGGGCUCAACCCUGCGUCGGCCAUGAAUACUGCCGCGGCUGGAGCACUGUAGAGGCAGGCGGAAUUCCGGGUGUAGCGGUGGAAUGCGUAGAGAUCGGGAAGAACACCCGUGGCGAAGGCGGCAAUCCUGGACCAAUUCGUGACGCUGAGGAGCGAAAAGCCAG